AUGGUGGCGGUGAAAACCCUGAACGCCAAGACCAAGGUGGCCCGAGCGCAGGCGGCGUUGGCGGUCAACAUCAGUGCUGCGCGGGGUCUGCAGGACGUGCUAAGGACCAACCUAGGACCCAAGGGCACCGUGAAGAUGCUCGUUUCUGGCGCUGGAGACAUCGAACUUACUAAAGAUGGCAAUGUGCUGCUUCACGAAAUGCAAGUUCAACAUCCAACAGCUUCCUUAAUAGCAAAGGUAGCAACAGGCCAGGAUGAUAUAACUGGUGAUGCUACGACUUCCAAUGUGCUAAUCAUUGGAGAGCUACUGAAACAGGCGGAUCUCUACAUUUCUGAAGGCCUUCAUGCCUGAAUAAUCGCUGAAGAAUUUGAAGCUGCAAAGGAAAAGGCCCUUCAGUUUUUGGAAGAAGUCAAGUAAGCAGAGAGAUGGACAGGGAAGCACUUACAGAUAUGGCCAGAACAUCUCUUCCUACUAAAGUUCAUGCUGAACUUGUAGAUGUCUUAACAGAGGCUGUAGUGGACUCCAUUUUGCCCAUUAAAAAAUAAGAUGAACCUAUUGAUCUCUUCAUGAUUGAGAUCAUGGAGAUGAAACAUAAAUCUGAAACUGAUACAAGCUUAAUCAGAGGGCUUGUUUUGGACCACGGAGCACGGCAUCCUCAUAUGAAGAAAAGGGUGGAAGAUGAAUACGUCCUCACCUGUAACGUAUCAUUAGAGUAUGAAAAAACAGAAGUGAAUUAUGGCUCUUUUUUUUACAAAAGUGCAGAAGAGAGAGAAAAACUCAAGAAAGCUUAAAGAAAAUUCAUUGAAGAUAGAG